CCAGAUGUUGUUUAUAAGCCACGCGAUCUGUGGCAUUCUGUUACAGCAGCUUGACGCAAGACAUAGAGUAUCCCUAAUUCAAGUGGAUUCAUCAUUCAUUAUACUAAGAUGUGAUCUGGUGAACAGGCAAAAAGGCUUCUCACUAAUGCUCACUGGACUCCGUCUCCUCACUCAUAAAACAAAGAGGUUGAAGGCAAUGAUCUGUAGGUUUCUUUGUGUCUCCAACAUUUUGUGCAUUGGUGUUUAGAGAGACAGAAAGGACACAAUUUCUGCCAUCAAGGAAAUAUUUGAGUCGAGAGAGAUAACAAAGCAAAGCACUUUUAUGUGAUAUUUUUCAAGAUCUUCAGAGAUAAAUAAUAUUCAGUGUUGACUAUUCGAAAUGGCUACAGCAAAUAAAAGGCCAAGAAUGGAAUGGAAUAAGGUAGACCCCAGAGAAUUUUGCCCUGGAGAAUAACCAACAGUGGAACAGUAUCGUGCCAUUCUCAUGAGACCUAGCUGGAACCUGGGGAGCUGGCAUUGCAAAGGGCUGCUUAGAGACCUGUGAAGAAAAGGGCACUUGGCAAAGGGAAGAAGCUGUUUAGGUUUAGGAGAGGUAGGUGUGAGACUCGUCUAGUUCCUUUGUUUCUUGUUAUCAGAGUCCACUGAUGUCUGCUUGAUGAGUCUGGCCUCGUCUCCACAUAAGGUCUUUAAAUGGUUUCUGAGAACUGCUUUGGCCUCGAGUCAGAACCAUUUCCUUGGAACACAGGUACUCUGCGGCACCACCUGUGAUCCACUGCCACCAAAUCCACUGUGAGCAAAGGGCAAAUACAUCUCCAAAUAAACAUGUCUAUGUCAAGGGCUGAACGGAAAAGCCAGAUCAUGGAAGCGGAGCACAACACAUCCAAAUGUGGAAAAGAUGAACAAUAAAACUAGACUCACAGUUUGUCUCUGAUAACAAAUUAA